rnacentral:rRNA from 1 species
CAAGAUACCUGGAAUGGUUUUUGAUUAAAAUCUAUAUGGCCUUUGGAUUGGACUGCGACCGAUCAGGCUGUUGGUGAGGUAAUGGCCCACCAAACCUGUAACCGGUACGGGCUCUGAGAGGAGGAGCCCGGAGAUGGGUACUGAGACAAGGACCCAGGCCCUAUGGGGCGCAGCAGGCGCGAAACCUCUGCAAUAGGCGAAAGCCUGACAGGGUUAUUCUGAGUGACUUUCGCUAAGAAAGUCUUUUGACACCUCUAAAAAUGGUGUAGAAUAAGGGGUGGGCAAGUCUGGUGUCAGCCGCCGCGGUAAUACCAGCACCCCGAGUGGUCGGGACGAUUAUUGGGCCUAAAGCAUCCGUAGCCGGUUUUACAAGUCCUCCGUUAAAUCCAACUGCUUAACAGAUGGGCCGCGGAGGAUACUAUAAGACUAGGAGGCAGGAGAGGCAAGCGGUACUCAGUGGGUAGGGGUAAAAUCCGUUGAUCCAUUGAAGACCACCAGUGGCGAAGGCGGCUUGCCAGAAUGCGCUCGACGGUGAGGGAUGAAAGCUGGGGGAGCAAACCGGAUUAGAUACCCGGGUAGUCCCAGCUGUAAACGAUGCAGACUCGGUGAUGGACUAGCUUCAUGCUAGUCCAGUGCCGCAGGGAAGCCGUUAAGUCUGCCGCCUGGGUAGUACGGUCGCAAGACUGAAACUUAA